rnacentral:rRNA from 1 species
UACGUAGGGUGCAAGCGUUAAUCGGAAUUACUGGGCGUAAAGGGCGCGUAGGCGGGAUGGCAAGUCGUUCGUGAAAUCCCUCGGCUCAACCGAGGAACGUCGAUCGAUACUGCUGUUCUUGAGGAUUGCAGAGGAGACUGGAAUUCCCGGUGUAGCGGUGAAAUGUGUAGAGAUCGGGAGGAACACCGGUGGCGAAGGCGGGUCUCUGGGCAAUUCCUGACGCUGAGGCGCGAAAGCGUGGGGAGCAAACGGG